rnacentral:rRNA from 1 species
AUGGCGGAGGAACCGUCCACCAAGCGUCAUCAUGGUGAGAUGUCCGACAAGAGCUGCGACCUCGACGAUGUUCACGUCCCCGGCGAGAAGCGCAUGUACACCAGAACGCUCGAAGGGGUUGAGCUCCACGGCAAGGAGAUGCUGGAGAUCGUCUGCACCAGUGAACCAGACAAGGCCGACGAGAUGAUCACCAAGCUCAGGAGGAAGGCUGGCGGCUCUCAUCGUAAGAUCGUCGGUCUUGGUUUGUGCAUGGAGGAAUUCUUCCUGGUGUACCACAUCGCAACAGCUACGAAAUGGACCAAGCGCCUCAACGAGAUGUUGAAGCAUGAGAAGUUGUUCACAUUUGUCGGUUUCAGCAUUGAACGCGACAAAGAGAAGAUGAAGAUAUCUGGCCUUCCAAUGAUCAACCCCAACAAGUAUGUCGACAUUCAGCGCUUCUGGAGAGUUCCAUACACCGGAAAAGAGUACGACUCCUUGACUGAUGUUGCAGCUAGCAUCAUCCACCCGUUCUACAAAGGCAUGAAGAAGAACAUUGACACACAGGAAGACCACAAACUGUGGAUGAUCAGCCCGCUGCCAGACAAGCUCAUCGACUACGCAGGAAAAGAUGCGUAUGCCACGUACAAGUCAUGGAACAUGAUCGACAACAUCACAAAUGGUAGGGAAAUGGCAAAAGUCCGGGAGGUUGACCACUACAACGACCGCCCCUUCCGUCCCUUUUAG